rnacentral:piRNA from 1 species
UAGGUGAAUCUAGACAUGUCGGGUGAACUA